GACGAACCGUGCGAACGUUGUUCGGAAUCACUGGGCUUAAAGGGCGCGUAGGCGGAUUGCCAAGUCAGGGGUGAAAUCUCUCAGCUCAACUGGGAAAUUGCUUUUGAUACUGGCAGUCUCGAGUGAGGUAAGGGGAUGUGGAACUCUAGGUGGAGCGGUGAAAUGUGUUGAUAUCGGGAGGAACUCCGGUGGCGAAAGCGACGUGCUGGACCUCAACUGACGCUGAGGCGCGAAAGCUAGGGGAGCAAACGGG
rnacentral:rRNA from 1 species